UCCAGACUUUGAUUAUGGCUCAGGAUGAACGCUAGCUACAGGCUUAACACAUGCAAGUCGAGGGGAAACGAUAUUGGAAGCUUGCUUCCGAUAGGCGUCGACCGGCGCACGGGUGAGUAACGCGUAUCCAACCUGCCCACCACUUGGGGAUAACCUUGCGAAAGUAAGACUAAUACCCAAUGAUAUCUCUAGAAGACAUCUGAAAGAGAUUAAAGAUUUAUCGGUGAUGGAUGGGGAUGCGUCUGAUUAGCUUGUUGGCGGGGUAACGGCCCACCAAGGCGACGAUCAGUAGGGGUUCUGAGAGGAAGGUCCCCCACAUUGGAACUGAGACACGGUCCAAACUCCUACGGGAGGCAGCAGUGAGGAAUAUUGGUCAAUGGACGAGAGUCUGAACCAGCCAAGUAGCGUGCAGGAAGACGGCCCUAUGGGUUGUAAACUGCUUUUAUAAGGGAAUAAAGUUAGUCUCGUGAGACUUUUUGCAUGUACCUUAUGAAUAAGGACCGGCUAAUUCCGUGCCAGCAGCCGCGGUAAUACGGAAGGUCCGGGCGUUAUCCGGAUUUAUUGGGUUUAAAGGGAGCGUAGGCCGGAGAUUAAGCGUGUUGUGAAAUGUAGACGCUCAAUGUCUGCACUGCAGCGCGAACUGGUUUCCUUGAGUACGCACAAAGUGGGCGGAAUUCGUGGUGUAGCGGUGAAAUGCUUAGAUAUCACGAAGAACUCCGAUUGCGAAGGCAGCUCACUGGAGCGCAACUGACGCUGAAGCUCGAAAGUGCGGGUAUCGAACAGGAUUAGAUACCCUGGUAUGUCCGCACGGUAAACGAUGGAUGCCCGCUGUUGGUCUGAAUAGGUCAGCGGCCAAGCGAAAGCAUUAAGCAUCCCACCUGGGGAGUACGCCGGCAACGGUGCAACUCAAAUGAAUUGACGGA
rnacentral:rRNA from 1 species